UGACCCAGUCUGAUGUAAAACUCAGUGUAGUAACGUUGAUAUUUAAUGUUGUCUGAGUACUCUGUUUAACUAGCCCUCUUCCUGUUGCCUUCAUCUCUCUUGCAGCUCAGAAGACCUCCCCUGUCUGUUACCUCUGUAACCAUGAUAACUGCCCAACCGUUGAGUAUGUUUAUGACCAUUUGACUGCUAAUUUGACUCUGUGGUCGCGAGGUAAAAUGGUGGACCUCCCUCCCUGCCCCACCCACUCCCCUCUGUCAUCUGGAGGAUGCUUGGUGUGUGUUGACAACCAGAAGAUCUACGCUGUGUGUGACUCAGAGAUCAUCAAGCCAGUUUUUGAGGGCCAAGGCAACUUCAUGCCUAUCAUCAAAGCCAAUUGCAAAAGCAUUGUUUCAACAUAAUAAUACCUGUACUGUCAUUACAGAUUGCAAAAGCAUUGUUUCAACUGAUUGGACGGAUCCAAAUGUCCCCACUUCCACCCCUGGUGGUACUGGGAGGUUAUCUAAGGAAGAAGAGAUCACUAUUGGCAUUUUAGCUGCUACCCUCUCCUUCCUUGCCAUCCUCGGCAUUGUUGCUUGGCGCUACAAGGACCAGAUUAAGUAAGCAGGCGGUUUACGGGCUAAAAUACAUAUCCCCCUCUAUCGGUGAAUACAGGUUUAACACAUGUGGUAUACAUGCUUUUAUACAGUCACUAAGCCUGGGCACCUAACCUGACUCUUUCAUUUAACUAUAUUGUUGCCUUCUGUGUUUUUAAAGAGCGGUGAGAGAAUUACACAUCAUUGUGCUCUCUUUUGGCAGAUUUAUUUGACUGAUUGUCUUUUCAGGUGUCUUCCAGUGGCCCUUCCAGCGGUCAAACCAGGGGAACCCCAGUGUUAUCCAAAUGAACUGAAGAAAGAGUUUGAUACCAUCAGCCGAGGAAUAGUUGGACCUGCAGGGAAUAGGGGUGUGCCAAGAUUUGAAUCUCAUUUACAUUUACCCUGUUUAGAAAUGUAUUGGAUAUGUCCUAUUUAAACCUAUGGUGUGUAUUUAAUCUGCAACCAGUGUUCUCUUAGGUUCAGAUGACCUUCAGCUCUAUCAGCCAGGUGGCUGUGUAGCUGUAACACUGUCUCCCCAUCACGUCGGGUUGUUAGUUUAAAAGCUUUAACUCUGCACAUUUACAACAGGCAAGUUUUUAAAAACAGUGCUUCAAACUAAUCAUGGUCUAGAUUGAAGACCAUUAAUAGUCAGUUGAAUCAGUUGUGCUAUAGAUUGUUUACCUAAGCAGCCCAUAUAUUUAUCCCAGAUUGUGAAUACAAUAAGGCAUUAUGUCAUACUGGAGUCAGGGAGGUAAACAGGAAAGCUCUUGUUCUGUUUUGGUAUUAACUGUUCAUAUCCAUAGUGACCCACUUGAAACAAAUAGACAUUUCUGUAUCUAGGUUUGGUGUAAUUGACCUGAUUUGUAAAUCGACCUGUACAGUUGCUCUGUGUUUGGCUGAGAGACUGCUGUGGGAACAACCAUGGCACAGAAAACUGGAUUAAAAGUUGAAAUGCUUUCAGUGUGUAUCCAGAUAUGGAUUUUAGUCAAUAGGAAUGGAACUCCUAAAACCUGUUUCCUGUCCCUUUCACCCUUUCUUCUUCUCUGGGUAUGGCCUCACCAGUUUUAUAAACAGAUGUGAUUGUACUGCUACUUAUGAGCUGUGUAAAUAUACACAUACCCAGCCAGCGAUCCCAGGUCUUUGGUGUUUAUUCUGAAAAUAGACAAGGAAAGAGCACAUAAGAUGAGCAUCACUUGCACCAGGAUAUUGAUGGCUGUAGAAUCCCUUGUAUGUAAAUAGUAGACUGGGCUUUUUCUAAUCAAAUAGAACAAUGACAAAGACAGGACGGAAUAGAUUAUGCAUCAACUGACAAUACACAAGGAAAGAACUUGAAUUAAUUUUGACAUUAUGACUGCAUAAUCUAGUCUGCUUUGGUGACAAAACAGAUGGCACUGUGAUAGACUGCGUCCAGUUUGUUGAGUAGAGUGUUGGAGGCUAUUUUAUAGAUGAAAUCACCGAAGUCGAGGAUCGGUAGAAUGGUCAGUUUUACGAGAAUGUGUUUGGCAGCAUGAGUGAAGGAUGCUUUGUUGCGAUAAAGGAAGCUGAUUCUAGAUUUAAUUUUGGAUUGGAGAUGCUUAAUGUGAGUCUGGAAGGAGAGUUUACAGUCUAACCAGACACCCAGGUAUUUGUAGUUGUCCACGUAUUCUAAGUCAGAGCCGUCCAGAGUAGUGAUGCUGGACGGGCGAGCAGGUGCGAGCAGCGAUUGAAAAGCAUGCAUUUAGUUUUACUUUACUACGCACAAUUAGUCUAGUGUCGUCCGGGUUAGGGAGGGCUUGGCCGGUAGGGAUGUCCUUGUCUCAUCGCGCACCAGCGACUCCUGUGGCGGGCCGGACGCAGUGCGCGCUAACCAAGGUUGCCAGGUGCACAGUGUUUCCUCCGUCACAUUGGUGCGGCUGGCUUCCGGGUUGGAUGCGUGCUGUGUUAAGAAGCAGUGCGGCUUGGUUGGGUUGUGUAUCGGAGGACGCAUGACAUUCAACCUUCGUCUCUCUCGAGCCCGUACGGGAGUUGUAGCGAUGAGACAAGAUAGUAGCUACUACAACAAUUGGAUACCACGAAAUUGGGGAGAAAAGGCGUAAAAAAAUAAUAAUAAUAAUAAUAAAAAAAAAAUUAUAGACUGAUCAUUUCUUUGUCAGUGGGCAAACGUACAAAAUCAGCAGGGGAUCACUGUAAGGGGACAGGACAACUUCACCGCAUCAAAGGGAUGAUGGACGGGGCCAUACUACCACUGGUGGAAAUAUGUAUUUUGUCUUAUGGGGUCAUAAGAUAGUAGCUUCCCCCAUUGGGUCAUAAGAUAGUAGCUUCCCCCAUUGGGUCAUAAGAUAGUAGCUUCCCCCAUUGGGUCAUAAGAUAGUAGCUUCCCCCAUUGGGUCAUAAGAUAGUAGCUUCCCCCAUUGGGUCAUAAGAUAGUAGCUUCCCCCAUUGGGUCAUAAGAUAGUAGCUUCCCCCAUUGGGUCAUAAGAUAGUAGCUUCCCCCAUUGGGUCAUAAGAUAGUAGCUUCCCCCAUUGGGUCAUAAGAUAGUAGCUUCCCCAUUGGGUCAUAAGACAAAAUACAUAUUUCCACCAGUGGUAGUAUAUACAGUGAGGGGAAAAAAGUACUUGAGGAAUACCUGACAUGAUGACUCCUUGCUGUCCCCAGUCCACCUGACCGUGCUGCUGCUCCAGUUUAAACUGUUCUGCCUUAUUAUUAUUCGACCAUGCUGGUCAUUUAUGAACAUUUGAACAUCUUGGCCAUGUUCUGUUAUAAUCUCCACCCGGCACAGCCAGAAGAGGACUGGCCACCCCACAUAGCCUGGUUCCUCUCUAGGUUUCUUCCUAGGUUUUGGCCUUUCUAGGGAGUUUUUCCUAGCCACCAUGCUUCUACACCUGCAUUGCUUGCUGUUUGGGGUUUUAGGCUGGGUUUCUGUACAGCACUUUUAGAUAUCAGCUGAUGUACGAAGGGCUAUAUAAAUACAUUUGAUUUGAUUUGAUCCCCUGCGGAUUUUGUACGUUUGCCCACUGACAAAGAAAUGAUCAGUCUAUAAUUUUUUUAAAUUUUACCCCUUCUUCUCCCCAAUUUUCGUGGUAUCCAAUUGUUUUUAGUAGCUACUAGGUUCGAGCUUUAAGCGUCCGUGAGUUUUAAUAGGUUCAUUUAGAACCGAACACUGAAACUCAGGGUAGGAGUGUUCAUUCAAGAAAGUCUGUUGAAGUUGAAUUGAGAAGAUGGAUGAUGGGAUUCAAGGUUGAUGUUCUAUUGAUGUGUUGAGAAGAAGAGUUUGUGACUACAGUACCAGUCAAAAGUUUCUUUAUUUUUACUAUUUUAUAAAUUGUAGAAUAAUAGUAAAGACAUCAAAACUAUAAAAUAACACAUGGAAUCAUGUAGAAACCAAAAAAAAAGUGUUAAACAAAUCAAAAUAUAUUUUAUAUGAGAUUCUUCAAAGUAGCCACCCUUUGCCUUGAUGACAGCUGUUCCCAUAGACUUUGUCACAGAAAAAUGAGAAGCGCUACACUGUCUGUAUGGUAAAUUGUACAUUGCUGGGAGGGGUUUCUAUUUAAUUAAUUAUUUUCUGGCUACUUGGAGUUUAUAUAAUUCAUUAUAUUUCUAUAAGACUCAUUCUAUUGCUCUGUGAUUGAAUUUGGAAGUGGAAUCAAUCAAUAUGACACACUACCUCCCUGUGUUAAGAGAGUAAAGGCCACCCAGAGAGGCACUGAGGUGGACCGGGAGCUCCAGACACUGAAAAAUGUGAUCCUGCAGGGGUGGCCUGAAGUGAAAAAACAUGUACCCCUGGAAGUAGCCAUGUAUUUUCACAACAGAGAUGAGCUGAGUGUGCAAAAUGGAGUUAUCUUCAGAGGUGAGCGAGGCAUUGUGCCUACCGCCCUGAGGUCAGAGAUAAUGCAGUUAAUCCAUUCCUCACACAUAGGAACAGAGAAGAGCUUUGCG
rnacentral:lncRNA from 13 species